GUGCUCACUUUGGCAGCACAUACACUAAAAUUGGGACAAGACAGAGAAGAUCAUCACGGCCCCUGCACAAGGAUGACAUGCAAAUUCAUAAGUGUUCCACAUUUUU